AGACUAAGGGCACGAAACUCGAAAAGAGAUCGUUUUUUUUUUUAAAAAAAGGAGCCACCGCACUUGUUCAACUCUGGCGCCCACUCUUGAGCGGAUAGUGCGUUAGUCAAAAAGAGCGCAACCCCCAAGAAGAAAAACAGAAAAGCAUGCUUUGAACAAAGGAGCAUUGACUGCCUUUGUUGGGAGGAGUGCCGUCACCGGACAAAUGUUUGUGGAAACCGACAGCCACUCCUAUUGCCGGAGAAAAUCGGAAAACCAACUUCAACCCAGCUUCGGACCGGGAAAGCUGUUAAACCUGAGAACACGAGAGAAACCGCGGCGUGGAAGUCGCCAGAGAAGCGGUUAAAGAUGGGGUUAAAGCGGUGAGCGAGGCGUAUCGCCACCACCACUUUGCCGGCGGAAAAGGCUGAAGGAGGCGGGCGAUCGAGGCCGACGGCGGCCCAGAUCUCACAGCAGCUCCUUCGAACUGGGUGGGUCAACGAUCUCGCUGAACGCUGAAGGUGGGUGGGUCUCGAUGGAGAGAGUAUUCAAUAGGUCGGCGGUGGAGACUGUUGGCGGCGGAGGCGACUGUCUCGGUGGCCGGUGGGGGUGGAUUCGAUGGGAACGGCAACGGCCGACGGGGUCGCCGUUGCUGGGUGGGAAGCGGAAGGUUGGUGGGUCAACGAUCUCGCUCAAAAAUCUCCUUCUCCAUCGGAGAAAAUUUUGACGCGCAGAUCGGCCAUGGAGAGGCACCUGCUGCAGAUCGGCUAUGGAGCCGGAGCCGGAGGAGAGGCACCUGUUGCAGAUCUGCUGCAGAUCGGCUGAUGGCGCUCGGCAGAUCGGUAGAUCGGGUAAAUGCC
rnacentral:lncRNA from 1 species